AUUGAACGCUGGCGGAAUGCUUUACACAUGCAAGUCGAACGGCAGCACGGGUGUUUGCACCUGGUGGCGAGUGGCGAACGGGUGAGUAAUAUAUCGGAACGUAUCCAAUAAUGGGGGAUAACUAAUCGAAAGGUUGGCUAAUACCGCAUACGCCCUACGGGGGAAAGCUAGGGACCUUCGGGCCUGGCGUUAAUGGAGCGGCCGAUAUCUGAUUAGCUAGUUGGUGGGGUAAUGGCCUACCAAGGCGACGAGCAGUAGCUGGUCUGAGAGGCCGACCAGCCAAACUGGAACUGAGACACGGUCCAGAAUCCUACGGGAGGCAGCAGUGGGGAAUUUUGGACAAUAGGCGCAAGCCUGAUCCAGCCAUUCCGCGUGAGUGAAGAAGGCCUUCGGGUUGUAAAGCUCUUUCGCAAGGGAAGAAAACUUAUCCUCUAACAUAGGAUGAGGUUGACGGUACCUUGAUAAGAAGCACCGGCUAACUACGUGCCAGCCGCCGCAGUAAAAC
rnacentral:rRNA from 1 species